AUCCCCGGGAAACUGGGGUCAACUUCCGAUAGGCGAAGAACUCUGGAACGAGUCUUCACCCAAAAGACGUUUAGGGCAUGCUCCUAGACGUUGCCCAAGGAUGGGGCCGCGGCCGAUCAGGUUGUUGGUGAGGUAACGGCUCACCAAGCCUAUUACCGGUACGGGCCGUGGGAGCGGUAGCCCGGAGAUGGGCACUGAGACAAGGGCCCAGGCCCUACGGGGCGCAGCAGUCGCGAAAACUUCGCAAUAAGCGAAAGCUUGACGGGGCUAUCCCGAGUGCCAUCUGCUGAAGAUGGCUUUUACCUAGUAUAGAUAGCUAGGGGAAUAAGGAGAGGGCAAGUCUGGUGUCAGCCGCCGCGGUAAUACCAGCUCUCCGAGUUGUGGGGAUAUUCAUUGGGCCUAAAGCAUCCGUAGCCGGCUGAACAAGUCCCCUGUUAAACCCAGCGACUAAUCGUUGGUCUGCGGGGGAUACUGUUCGGCUAGGGGGGCGGGAGAGGCCGUCGGUAUUCCUGGGGUAGGGGUGAAAUCCUAUAAUCCCAGGAGGACCACCAGUGGCGAAGGCUGUCGGCUAGAACGCGCCCGACGGUGAGGGAUGAAAGCUGGGGGAGCGAACCGGAUUAGAUACCCGGGUAGUCCCAGCUGUAAACGAUGCAGGCUAGGUGUUAGGGCGGCUACGUGCCGCUCUAGUGCCGCAGGAAGCUGUUAAGCCUGCACGCCUGGGAGUACGGCCGCAGGCUGAAACUUAGA
rnacentral:rRNA from 1 species